CCCUUAGAUGUCCUGGGCCGCACGCGCGCUACACUGAGUGUCUGAGAUACGAGUCUGCCUGGUCCGGCAAGGUCUAGGUAAUCGCUAAAAGACACAUCAUGCUUGGGAUAGAUUAUUGCAAAUAUUAAUCUUGAACGAGGAAUUCCUAGUAAGCGCUAGUCAACAGCUUGCGUUGAUUACGUCCCUGCCCUUUGUACACACCGCCCGUCGCUACUACUGAUUGGAUGUUUAAGCGAGGUUCUCGAACUGCUAGCGACUUAGCUUCGGUGAGGUCGCAGUGUGGGAAGUGAACCUAGCUUUGGUGUCUAGAGGAAGUAAAAGUCGUAACA
rnacentral:rRNA from 1 species